GCCAGGCACCGUGGCGCAUGCCUAUAAUCCCAGCAGCUUGGGAGGCUGAGGCAGGAGGAUCGCGAAUUCAAAGCCAGCUUCAGCAAACAUGAGGGGAUAAGUAACUCAAUGAGACCCUGUCUCUA
rnacentral:sRNA from 1 species